rnacentral:rRNA from 1 species
AUUCCAGCUCCAAUAGCGUAUAUUAAAGUUGUUGCGGUUAAAAAGCUCGUAGUUGGAUUUCUGCUGAGGACGACUGGUCCGCCCCCUGGGUGAGCAUCUGGUUCGGCCUGGGCAUCUUCUUGGGGAACGUAUCUGCACUUGAUUGUGUGGUGCGGUAUCCAGGACUUUUACUUUGAGGAAAUUAGAGUGUUUCAAGCAGGCCCGCGCCUUGAAUACAUUAGCAUGGAAUAAUAAGAUAGGACCUCGGUUCUAUUUUGUCGGUUUCUAGAGCUGAGGUAAUGAUUAAUAGGGACAGUCAGGGGCACUCGUAUUCCGCCGAGAGAGGUGAAAUUCUCAGACCAGCGGAAGACGAACCACUGCGAAAGCAUUUGCCAGGGAUGUUUUCAUCA